CUACUCUGGCUUCUCUUCAGAUAUCGAAUAAAUCUUUCGCCUUUUACUAAAGGUUUCCGUGGAGAGGAGCACUCUAAUGAGUCUAAAAUAAAUUUUUGGCUGUAGGCUCAAUGACCUUCA